rnacentral:rRNA from 1 species
UUGAGGAAGAUAAUGACGGUACUCAACAAGGAAGUGACGGCUAACUACGUGCCAGCAGCCGCGGUAAAACGUAGGUCACAAGCGUUGUCCGGAAUUACUGGGUGUAAAGGGAGCGCAGGCGGGAAGACAAGUUGGAAGUGAAAUCCAUGGGCUCAACCCAUGAACUGCUUUCAAAACUGUUUUUCUUGAGUAGUGCAGAGGUAGGCGGAAUUCCCGGUGUAGCGGUGGAAUGCGUAGAUAUCGGGAGGAACACCAGUGGCGAAGGCGGCCUACUGGGCACCAACUGACGCUGAGGCUCGAAAGUGUGGGUAGCAAACAGGAUUAGAUACCCUGGUAGUCCACACCGUAAACGAUGAUUACUAGGUGUUGGAGGAUUGACCCCUUCAGUGCCGCAGUUAACACAAUAAGUAAUCCACCUGGGGAGUACGACCGCAAGGUUGAAACUCAAAGGAAUUGACGGGGGCCCGCACAAGCAGUGGAGUAUGUGGUUUAAUUCGACGCAACGCGAAGAACCUUACCAAGUCUUGACAUCCUKCGACGAUSMUAGAAAYAKKAUUUUYCUUCGGAACGCAGAGACAGGUGGUGCAUGGUUGUCGUCAGCUCGUGUCGUGAGAUGUUGGGUUAAGUCCCGCAACGAGCGCAACCCUUAUGGUCAGUUACUACGCAAGAGGACUCUGGCCGGA